UUGACAUAUCUGGAUUAGAAAACAGCCUUGAAAGGAGUUUGCUGCCAAGGAACGAUGGGUAGGUGGGUAACAGCUGGAGGGGAAGUCAGCUGGAAGAGGCAGAGAUUUCAGCUUUACCUCUGAAGUACAUGGCCUUAACCUUGUUACAACAGUAGAGCAGCAUGUAACCAGCAAGGCAGAAAGAAAAACCAACGUGACCUUCCAUCUCUGAAGCAAUUUCUUAGUAAAAUGAGGUACUUCAAACAGACCACUGUGAAAACAAGACAGAAGCAACUACCAAAUUUCUGUCUGUAUAACGUGCAAAUCCAGCCAAACCUGGAAUUAAAAAGCUGCAGGCUGAGUAUGGGUUUAAUACCUUGUUGUCAUGUAUUUUGAAAGGUAAUACAUUUCUGGGGCACACUGUGGUAUCCUGUCAGUCAGGUAUCCCCACUGGUAAAAUUCUCAUGACCUUGAGCAGAGUAAAUACUUUACUAAAGCAGAAAGGGGAGGAGCAGCCCUCCAAAAAACCAAAAUAUUGGGACACAAAUUUUUUUUGACAACAUUGCACAAUAUAGCAAAGCUUCACGGCAUCUCUCCAGCAUGGAGGGCAUUGCUGAAGAAUGAGAUACAAGGAGGUAAAAAAACUUGAGGACAAAAGCAAGUCUUUGUUCAGGCAGAUUACCUGGGGGGGAAAUACAGUACAUGAUGUACCAUGUGACACAUCAGUCAUGCAAGCUAUUUCUAGGAGGUUUUACUUACUGGAGGGUUGUUUUUCAUUUAGAGAGGAAUUUCUUCCUGGGCAGAGGGCUUGGAAAAGGCCAGUGUGACUCUGAGUCUCACUGAAGCCAUAUUCUGGCAGGGAAGGCACACAACCUCAUAGAAUACUCCUACAUGUGGAUGAAUCUUUCCUGUGCUGAACUGACAGUCUAGCUUUCAUCAGAUUUAAAAUAAUGCAGAGGAUUUAUAAAGACAUUAGACUCUGCUCAGCUUUGCACAAAGAACAUCAGUCAGGCCUUCAUCUCAAACUCUUCUUGUGCCAGAAUUGAAUGAUUUUGUCCUGCCAGGUUUCUCUGCAGAGCUGACAUUUCUCGGGCUCUACUGGGCACCUCUUGGUGCAGUGCAGGAAGCUGAACAGGUGACUGGUCCUACCAUGCAUGGCUGCAAGGCACAGAGAGCUUGUGCACACCCAACAAGGACAUUAAAGCAGCUGCUGAAUUGCCAGCUGCCAUGUUCUGCUGGCAAGAUGAUGGCACGUAGCUGCACACUGGUGUGUGAGGGCAUGCCUGAGGGCAGGAUGUGCCUCUGUGCUCCAGUGUUCUUUAUUAACGUGGCUGACAACCAGGCAAGGGCAUGGCAGGAGAGACUGAGCUGGAGUGUUGCACCUUACCAGGAGCCCAUGAUGUCUACCUGGGCUGCAGUGAAUUUUUCAGCUGGGUUAAAACCACAGCCUUUCUCUUACCUCUGCUGCAAACCAAGUACAAGAUUUUAAAUUCAUCCUGAUAGUCAGGAAACAUCCUCUAUAAUCCCAGCAUCGGGGUGGGUGAUAGAUCUAGAGCACACCUCUGCCAUGAAUUCCCUCACCCAGUUGCUGCUGCUCUUGUUUUUAUUGAUGCUCAAUUCUUGAGUCACAGGUCAAUGUACCACUUGACUUUGCCUGGUCAAACCAAUUGUUAUGAUUGGAAUGUUGAUUCAGCUAUAAGCCAUGAAUAUUCUAAGAGAAAUACCAUUUAUGCAUAACAACCUUAGCCUGUACUAGUUCGUGCCAUCCCCCCAAAAGCAUUCUGAAUGUUUGCUUUAGUAGUUGCCUCCUCUAGAUUAAGUUCACAAAGCCUUAUACUUACUGUUUAGUUCAGCAUCUGUACAAACCAGUAAGCAGACAUUUCUAUUUUCAGGGACCCUUGAAAGGUAAAGAAUUGAAUAUGGUGAUGACAACACAGCAUCUGUCUCCAAAUUAAGGAUAUACAAACAAAUGUAAGAGUUGCUCUGAAAUCAGAACUCCCCUUUCCUCUCUUCUCCCUUGGGUAUGAUGAGAGGAUGACAGUGGCUCAUUGUUUAGAGGAUGAAAACUAAAGCUGGGUGCGGCUUUGUGACCUGGGAUUUUAAAGCUGCCUUUGUUUUAGAGUGCUACAGUGAAGUGUUCAUCAUUUACAUUAGUGACAAAUCUGGAUUUUCUGUCUUCACUCUAUUGUUUCUCUCUGAGUUACACAGGUUCUACUGUCCACUUCUGCAUGAACUUUAAAUUCAACACUUGAAGGUGACUUCCCAUGUAUCAGAAAACCCUACUGCCUGCAGGGGGCUUGAACUGAAUUUCUGAUGAACUGGUGGGAAUGUCCAGGAUCUGGCACAAAAAAUGUAUGACAUUAAUUUCCUAGUGUACCCAGUUGCCCUGAAAUCUUCACUGGGAAAUAUGAAUUCUCUAAUUCAUCAGACCCAUCGUGCAGUUCAAAACAAAUGUUAAUGAAGGCUUUAGACAACCUGAGGCUGGGGGUGCUGAGGUGGGCAGCGAUGAGCUAAGACCCUCCUACUUCUCAAUUAUGAUGAUAAUGGGGAUUUUCCAGCCAUUUUUAAUUUGAAUUCCUACAGCCUGGUGUUCACCAAGCAUUCAACCUCUAACACCCUAGCCUGUGCCUGCAAGGGCUGGCAUUUUCACACGGUGUCAUUUUAGCACAGGUUAGGGCAGGAUUACCAGAGCUGCUGCCAUCAGCCUUAUUUUGCUAAACCUUAUUGUCUCGUAGUGCCAAUGAAUACAGGACUGGAGGCUGUUGAACCUGAGCCAGGAAGGCCAGCCUGCCUUGAUGGACAGCCUGCACAGGAGUGGCUUCUGGUGCUGUUCACCUGCGGGAAACAAGCAAUUAUGCAGUAGUCUGUUAAGGGAAUUAUAUCAGGAUUGGUUUAGAAUAAUUUCUGGCCAAAGUCUGUAAAGCCCAUUUUUUUUUUAAUAUGGUUGCACAAAACUCUGACAAAUUCAGAACCUUCCAGAAAGGCAAGACAUGCUCAAUUUGCCCCCAGGUCAGAACUUUGCAUAUAAUCUUGUCUCUCCCACUGUCCCUAUCAGGAACAAGUCCUUCUUAAAUGAUCCCUAGAUGCUUGGAGGUUACAUCUCCUCUCCAGCUUCCAACUCUCAGAAGCCUCUUGGAGAAUUAAUAAUUUAUCAGCAGCAACUUGAAGUCAUGCAGCUCACCCACCUCCUCUUGGCAGGAUUGUUCACACUGCUGUUGCUGCUGAAAGAAAGUGUGGAAAGAGCCUGAUUGUCACUCAGAAGACCUACCUCAUGGUUAGUUUAACUGAUUAUGCUUGGCAUGGUGUACCUACGAGAGCAACUGCUGCGUGGGGAGAAAGCCUGGAGACAGCUGAAUGGCCUCCUGGGCCAGCCCAAAGCUUGUAGAUGAAGCUGCUCAAAGGUUCUCCUUUAAUUAAAGGUGUAUUGGUUGGAAAACCCUCUGUACAGGCCAGAAGACUGAGAGAUUCCACACUGAUGUGACUCUGCCAGUGCAAAGACAAGUAUUCCUACCCCAAUAUCCUUUGUGCAGCUCCCCCUUGGUGUCUGAGAGGGACCUUGAACCCAACUGCUGAACAUCUCCCUGAAAUCUGUGCUUUUUGGAGGGAGCUUGCAUCCUGCUCAACCUAUUCAGAGCAAGAAUCUAUGUACACUGUACUCCUAAUGAAGCCUCUGUUUCAGUUUUGGAAAUGUCUGUCCCUUCCCUGCUUUGGAUAAAUGAUUGAAGUAUCUUUGUGUAAAAGAGUAGAAAAGUCUGGUCAGGACCACGUAUGCCUAUACUAUUUCAUUGCCCUUGACUCAUAAAUGGAGAGAAGAGGAUGUGAGCACAGAGAAGGCUUGUCUGGGGCUUUGCAGGUCAGUGCUACCUGCAAAUCAGCUGGCAACCAAGAGGCUUCCUUCAGCCAAACAGUGCAUCUCAUCUGGCUCCAGAGCAAUGACAUCAGUGAGACAUCAGUGCUCUUCACCCACUGUAAGCACGUGGGUGAAAGGGGAUUUUCAUAUGCAGCUGAUGCUCUCAGGGGACUUAUGCAUCAGGGUGCUCAGAGGAUGAGUAGCUCAACAUCCUGUUCACAUCUUGGAUCCCAGUUUCAAGGGUACCAAGUGUGCUUCCUGCCUCCCUGCAGGGAGGAGACAAGAGGCAGCAAACCACUGAUUAAUGUGGUGACUCAGCACACAGCGGAUGGACUUGUCCCACAUGCUAACCAGCAUGAGCAAGGACAGCAGCCACUGUGGCACAGGGACACCAAACACAGGAAAGCAUCUAAGACAUGCCCUGGGACAUGCCAGCCCUUGAGCCAGCUGGAAACAUGGGCUCACCUAAGAACUCCACCACUUCCCUGGAGAUCGGAGCUUUUGUCAAUUAUUGAGAAAUGUGAGUUCAUCUUCACCUUCUGGAGUAUCUGGACAGCAUGUUGCAGGAUUUCUGAUUCACCUGGAUGUUAAAUGGCUGUCAUUUAUAAAAAUGGACAAAACCUCAUGGAUUGCCAUGGAUUCUCCUUCGGAUGAGAAUGUGGCCACGGGCAAUGAGCCCAAGGUAGCUCCAGGACAGCUUCAAGCUCAGGCGCCCUGUUCUGCCUCUCACUGUGCACAGUACAUGAAAAAGGCCUGCUGCCUUUUCAUUUUACAGUCACCAAUCUGAAUUUAUUUUUUUUUUUGUUGCAAGGACUGUUUUUCAAACUCUCCUAGCACUUCAAUCUUUUUUUAUAACUUGUCAUCAUUAUUUCUUGCCAGGACAUUUGCCAUAUGACUGGAGGUUUAGGGUUUCUUUGGACAAAAGCAGGAAUGCCCACAGGGCUGGAGAGAAGCUGACCUGUUUAUUGACUUUCAUUUUAUUGUCUGCUGUUUGGUCCCAAUUUAAAAAAAAAAAUAAAAAUCAAAGAUCAAUUGGAGAAACAGAGCUUUGGUUAGAAAGAACCAUUUUUUUGUAACCUUUGAGAGUUUGUGACAGUCAGCAAAAGCAAAUUUUUAAACUGUAAAAACAUUGAAACAGAAAUUUUCCUUUUCAUAUUUCACUAGUUUGAAGAUACAUACAGUGUUGCAGGAAUUAUGUUAUUCCAUAUCAAAAAGAAAUUGAUUUUGGUUUUAAAUCUCUCUCUCUUCAUGUCAAUCCUUUUUUUCUUUUUUUAAAUAAAUGCCAACCUUUUUCAUUUCUACUUAGAAUUCAAUUAAUAAGAAAUAAACAAAGGAAGCCCUAUGGGCACUUUCGUCUCCUCAUGGAUGUACCAAUUUCAAUUUAAGCUAAGAUCAUUUCCCAUAAGCUUCAUAUACAUAAAUUUCCAUAGGAGAGGUUGAUAGGUAAACAUUUCACUCUGUGCAGGGCCAUUCAAGCUAUCAGUAGGCUGCAGGUUUUUCAAUGUCCUUUUUGACUCCUGCCUGAUGAAUUUCACGCAUGUUCACAUUAUUUAUUGUCAUGUAUUCUAUUUUCAUUCUUAUUAAAUUUUUUUGAAUUGGGACAUUAUUUGGAUGUUUCUCCAUCACUUUAAUUAUAAGCAAACAUCUUGUCUAACUUGUUCCUCCGAAAUAUAAUGUGGUACAAGAUUGGGUGAUUAAUAGAAAAAGGAACUAAGAAUAUUAAAAAAAAAAAACCAAAACACAUUUAGAAUUAUAAUUUGAUUGCAUCCUGUUUUAGUUCUGCCAUGCCUGUUGAAGAAUGAUUUUUUGUCCUGCUCCUUCCCCGUCACCAGAAUAGACUAUUAUGUAGCUUUUGGUAUUUUCUUCAUUUUGUCUUUUGAAGAAGAGGAGGGACUUUUUAUCAGCCCCCUUUUUUUUUUUAUAUUCUAAGUCAAAUCUUGCUUCCUAGAUUACCUGUGCUUUAUGCAUGCAACUGUGGUUUAAAAGGAACGGCAGUUCAGUUUUGCAACAAGCCUGACGCUGUGUUCUUUGCUCAUCUUAGUCCUUCCAUUCUUUUUAAGGGGAUUUGUACACACACAACAAUUGGCAUUCCCUGGCUUUUAAAAUAUAAGCUCAUUUUUAAAAGUUUACUGAUUAAUUAUAUGGUUAAGCGAGACCCUAUCAACUAGAAAAUUAUAUUUCUUACUGCAAAAAUGUGAACCUACAAUGGAUUAAUGCAAUUCUGGAAAUUAAUGCAAGAUGAACAACACUGUGAAAAGGUUAUUUUGGAAAUCAUAUUCCAGUGUAUAUUCUUUUCAUGCAUUUGGCAAUUUACUUUUUUUUUUUUUUUACAUGUAUUCCUGAGUUGUCAUCUCCUGCUUCAAAGUUUACUAAAUUUGAUUACAAAAGUCAAAGAUCAGACCCUUAAUUUUUCCUGGCUGAAAAAAUGAUAUGAUUAAACAAAUAAAGGUUUAAACCCAAAAUCUAGUAUAUGCUGUUUACAAACUGUCUAAAGCAUAAUUAAAACACAACACAAAACCAAGCUAACAGUUGUCCAUUUUUUGAAAGCUUAAGUUCAAAGUAUGGCUUUAAUUCCAAACUCAGACAGAAGCAGACUUAACUUAGAACACUUUUUCUUAAGGCAUGCAAGUCAAAUCCUUAAUGCUAAUGCAGGAGGGUUUUUUGUAUUUAAUUUGACUUACAUUUUGUUAUCGCUUGGCUCACUGCCUCAGGAGUCUGAGCCAAAGCUGUUAUACUGUAAUAUCCAUGAGGUUCAGUUUUCUCUUUCACCUGCAAUACUGUACUCUCAGUGUAAUGCUAAUGUGACUCCUGCAGUAUAACAAAGAACCCAUAAUGACAGCAGCAGAGGGGCCUGAAUGUCAUUUACACCUAUUUGCUACAUCCAAGGUCAGCAAGAAUGCACCUGCAAAACACUCACACUGCACCCAGACUGGCUACAGGAGAACUGUCUACUGAGAUGAGGUUAUUUUGAAUAACAGAUGUUUUUUCUCUUAAACUCCUGAAGGUCUUUGUGCAGAAGUUCAUAAUGAGUUAUUCAAGGUAGGCAUGUGCAUUUCUGAAGUAACAAUGAAGGAGACUGCUUUUGAAACAAUGCUAAAGAAUCAGAAAAAAAGGUUCUGAGGAUGCACUUAGCAUAUUUAUAAAUACAUUUCCAGACACAUUGUUUCUCCAUAGCAUAUUUCAUACUCUGCCUGUUGAUGGAGGAUUAAACCAACCUAUAACUUUGGAACUGCUGCAGCAGAAGCAGGAAGACUGAUCACUGCCUUCAUUGCAAAGGUUGUAGCAAGUUCCUAGAGUUGCGAAAGGAAUGAAAAGCAAAGCAUGGUCUUCUGAUGCAGAACCUUUAUUAUA